UACGUAGGGGGCAAGCGUUGUCCGGAUUUAUUGGGCGUAAAGAGCUCGUAGGCGGCUGUCCACGUCGGAUGUGAAAGCUCAGGGCUCAACCCUGAGAGGCCAUUCGAUACGGGACGGCUAGAGGUAGGUAGGGGAAAGUGGAAUUCCUGGUGUAGCGGUGAAAUGCGUAGAUAUCAGGAGGAAUACCGAUGGCGAAGGCAGGUCUCUGGGCUGACACUGACGCUCAUGCACGAAAGCGUGGGGAGCAAACAGG
rnacentral:rRNA from 1 species